UACAGGGGGGCGAGUGUUAUUCGGAAUGACUGGGCGUAAAGGGUAUGUAGGCGGUUUUGAUAUUAGAAAGAAAAACCAAAGCCCAACUUUGGUACAAUUCUAAAAAAAAUAAUAUUAAAUAAAACUUGAGUUAAUUAGAAGAUGGUGGAACUCUAUCGAUAGUGAUGAAAUGCUUUGAUAAAUAGCGGAAGGCCGUUUGGCGAAGGCAGCCCUCUAUAAUAUAACUGACGCUGAGAUACUAAAGCAUGGGGAGCAAACGGG
rnacentral:rRNA from 1 species